rnacentral:lncRNA from 1 species
GAAAGUGUAAAAUAUUAAAGAAACAAACUCAAAUUGUCCUAGAUCUAUAGUGAUCUAGGAGAUAUAGGAAAAAUUAGGGUUACAAAAUAAACUCAUAUAGAGAUGAAAGAACCUGUCUAGAAUCCCAAGGAUCGUAACAGAUACAUAUUUUGCUUGAAAUCAUACUGGAGUAGUCAAGAACAGACAAAUGACGAAACCUAGAUGGAAAUCGGCAUGGCCAUGGGCCCUUGAAGACCUUAGAGAAGGCAUGCAUGACAUGAGAGAAGCCAUGUGAGGCUUAGGAGACGAUGAGAGGUCACCAGAGAUGACCAGAUAAGAGAGGUCGGCAUUUGAAGGGUUAGGGCUAGGUUGAGAGUGUUUUGACAGAGGAGAGGAUCCAAG